rnacentral:rRNA from 1 species
AGUGAACGCUGGCGGUAGGCCUAACACAUGCAAGUCGAACGGCAGCACAGUAAGAGCUUGCUCUUACGGGUGGCGAGUGGCGGACGGGUGAGGAAUACAUCGGAAUCUACUUUUUCGUGGGGGUUAACGUAGGGAAACUUACGCUAAUACCGCAUACGACCUACGGGUGAAAGCAGGGGAUCUUCGGACCUUGCGCGAUUGAAUGAGCCGAUGUCGGAGUAGCUAGUUGGCGGGGUAAAUGCCCACCAAGUCGACGAUCCGUAGCUGGUCUGAGAGGAGGGUCAGCCGCACUGGAACUGAGACACGGUCCAGACGCCUACGGGAGGCAGCAGUGGGGAAUAUUGGACAAUGGGGGGAAGCAUGAUCCAGCCAUACCGCGUGGGUGAAGAAGGCGUUCGGGUUGUAAAGCCCUUUUGUUGGGAAAGAAAAGCAGCAGGUUAAUACCCAGCUGUUCUGACGGUACCCAAAGAAUAAGCACCGGCUAACUUCGUG